rnacentral:tRNA from 1 species
GAGCAGUUGGUAGCUCGUCGGGCUCAUAACCCGAAGGUCGCAGGUUCAAAUCCUGCCUCCGCAA